AUACGGAGGAUCCGAGCGUUAUCCGGAUUUAUUGGGUUUAAAGGGUGCGCAGGCGGGAGAUUAAGUCGGCGGUGAAAUUUUGCAGCUCAACUGUAGAAGUGCCUUCGAAACUGGUUUCCUUGAGUGUAGAUGAAGUAGGCGGAAUUUGUGGUGUAGCGGUGAAAUGCAUAGAUAUCACGAGGAACUCCGAUUGCGCAGGCAGCUUACUAAACUACUACUGACGCUCAGGCACGAAGGCGUGGGGAUCAAACAGGAUUAGAUACCCUGGUAGUCCACGCAGUAAACGAUGAUUACUAGCUGUUUGCGAUACAAUGUAAGCGGCUGAGCGAAAGCGUUAAGUAAUCCACCUGGGGAGUACGUUCGCAAGAAUGAAACUCAAAUGAAUUGACGGGG
rnacentral:rRNA from 1 species